GCAUCCAUGGCUGAACGGUCAAGGCACCCAACUCAUAAUUGGCGAAUUCGCAGGUUCGACUCCUGUUGGAUGCA
rnacentral:tRNA from 1 species